rnacentral:rRNA from 1 species
UACAGAGGAGCCAAGCGUUGUCCGGAAUUACUGGGCGUAAAGCGCGCGUAGGCGGCUUGGCAAGUCGGGGGUGAAAGCCCGCAGCUCAACUGCGGAACUGCCUUCGAUACUGCCGGGCUUGAGGGCGGGAGGGGUGAUUGGAACUCCAGGUGUAGCGGUGAAAUGCGUAGAUAUCUGGAGGAACACCGGAGGCGAAGGCGAAUCACUGGACCGCUUCUGACGCUGAGGCGCGAAAGCUAGGGGAGCAAACAGG